rnacentral:lncRNA from 1 species
GGAUUUUCAAAAACCCGAACCCGAACCCGACUCCAAACCUGAGACCCGAACCCGAACCCAAACCCUCCGGAUUUUAAAAAUCCAUAUCCAAACCCGAACCCGACCAAAAAUUCGAAACCCGAUUCCAAAAAUUUGAACCCAAAAUAAUUAUUUCAUGUUUCAAUAUUUCAAAAUAUAUUAUAUUAAAUCUAAAUUUUUAAAAUAUAACAUCAAAUUUAUAUAUAUAUAUANAAAAUUUCGGAUAUCCAUACCCAUUGACAUCCCUACUGGUAAGAUCCAUUAAGUAUUAGGCUGUCCAAGAGGUUUAAUAAGUUUUAAAUCACCAAAAAAAAAAAAAAACUCAAUAAAUUCU